rnacentral:rRNA from 1 species
CAGGCUUAACACAUGCAAGUCGAGGGGUAUUUAUCUUCGGAUAGAGAGACCGGCGCACGGGUGCGUAACGCGUAUGCAAUCUACCUUUUACAGAGGGAUAGCCCAGAGAAAUUUGGAUUAAUACCUCAUAGUAUAGUUCUACCGCAUGGUAGUACUAUUAAAGUCACAACGGUAAAAGAUGAGCAUGCGUCCCAUUAGCUAGUUGGUAAGGUAACGGCUUACCAAGGCAACGAUGGGUAGGGGUCCUGAGAGGGAGAUCCCCCACACUGGUACUGAGACACGGACCAGACUCCUACGGGAGGCAGCAGUGAGGAAUAUUGGACAAUGGGCGCAAGCCUGAUCCAGCCAUGCCGCGUGCAGGAUGACGGUCCUAUGGAUUGUAAACUGCUUUUGUACGAGAAGAAACACUCCUUCGUGUAGCAGCUUGACGGUAUCGUAAGAAUAAGGAUCGGCUAACUCCGUGCCAGCAGCCGCGGUAAUACGGAGGAUCCAAGCGUUAUCCGGAAUCAUUGGGUUUAAAGGGUCCGUAGGCGGUUUGGUAAGUCAGUGGUGAAAGCCCAUCGCUCAACGGUGGAACGGCCAUUGAUACUGCCAGACUUGAAUUAUUAGGAAGUAACUAGAAUAUGUAGUGUAGCGGUGAAAUGCUUAGAGAUUACAUGGAAUACCAAUUGCGAAGGCAGGUUACUACUAAUUGAUUGACGCUGAUGGACGAAAGCGUGGGUAGCGAACAGGAUUAGAUACCCUGGUAGUCCACGCCGUAAACGAUGGAUACUAGCUGUU